rnacentral:rRNA from 1 species
GAUGAACGCUGGCGGCGUGCCUAAUACAUGCAAGUCGAGCGAACGGACGAGAAGCUUGCUUCUCUGAUGUUAGCGGCGGACGGGUGAGUAACACGUGGAUAACCUACCUAUAAGACUGGGAUAACUUCGGGAAACCGGAGCUAAUACCGGAUAAUAUUUUGAACCGCAUGGUUCAAAAGUGAAAGACGGUCUUGCUGUCACUUAUAGAUGGAUCCGCGCUGCAUUAGCUAGUUGGUAAGGUAACGGCUUACCAAGGCAACGAUGCAUAGCCGACCUGAGAGGGUGAUCGGCCACACUGGAACUGAGACACGGUCCAGACUCCUACGGGAGGCAGCAGUAGGGAAUCUUCCGCAAAGGGCGAAAGCCUGACGGAGCAACGCCGCGUGAGUGAUGAAGGUCUUCGGAUCGUAAAACUCUGUUAUUAGGGAAGAACAUAUGUGUAAGUAACUGUGCACAUCUUGACGGUACCUAAUCAGAAAGCCACCGCUAACUACGUG